rnacentral:rRNA from 1 species
UACGGGGGGGGGCAAGCGUUGUUCGGAAUUACUGGGCGUAAAGGGCUCGUAGGCGGCCAACUAAGUCAGACGUGAAAUCCCUCGGCUUAACCGGGGAACUGCAUCUGAUACUGGAUGGCUUGAGUUCGGGAGAGGAUGGUGGAAUUCCCAGUGUAGAGGUGAAAUUCGUAGAUAUUGGAAGAACACCGAUGGCGAAGGCAGCAUCUGGACCGACACUGACGCUGAGGCGCGAAAGCGUGGGGAGCAAACAGG